AGUUGCAACUUGUCUUUGAGUGCAGGGACAGGAGAAGUGUGGGCUACCCGGCCACUGCCCUGGAGCUGUGGUGACUGCUGCGUUUUUCUCCCAUGCACUUGCACGUCCAGGACUCCUGGGAGAACUUGGGCCACACUCCUUCCUUGCCCUCUUGAGCUCAUUCGUCACCCUGUUGGGUGAGCACAGCCCUAGCUCAGGCCACUGGGCAAGCCACACCAUCCAAAGAGGAGGUCCUCUGCCCCAGGACCCCCACACCACCCCAGCUCCCUGUUUCGCUGAGGCCUGGAGCCCCCAUGGCCUCACUGAGCCGAGCCCUACGUGUGGCUGCUGCCCACCCUCGCCAGAGCCCUACCCGGGGCAUGGGGCCAUGCAACCUGUCCAGCGCAGCUGGCCCCACAGCCGAGAAGAGUGUGCCAUAUCAGCGGACCCUGAAGGAGGGACAGGGCACCUCGGUGGUGGCCCAAGGCCCAAGCCGGCCCCUGCCCAGCACGGCCAACGUGGUGGUCAUUGGUGGAGGCAGCUUGGGCUGCCAGACCCUGUACCACCUGGCCAAGCUGGGCAUGAGUGGGGCGGUGCUGCUGGAGCGGGAGCGGCUGACCUCCGGGACCACCUGGCACACGGCAGGCCUGCUGUGGCAGCUGCGGCCCAGUGACGUGGAGGUGGAGCUUCUGGCCCACACUCGGCGGGUGGUGAGCCGGGAGCUGGAGGAGGAGACGGGACUACACACGGGCUGGAUCCAGAAUGGGGGCCUCUUCAUCGCGUCCAACCGGCAGCGCCUGGACGAGUACAAGAGGCUCAUGUCGCUGGGCAAGGCGUAUGGUGUGGAAUCCCAUGUGCUGAGCCCGGCAGAGACCAAGACUCUGUACCCGCUGAUGAAUGUGGACGACCUCUACGGGACCCUGUAUGUGCCGCACGACGGUACCAUGGACCCCGCUGGCACCUGUACCACCCUCGCCAGGGCAGCUUCUGCCCGAGGAGCACAGGUCAUUGAGAACUGCCCAGUGACCGGCAUUCGUGUGUGGACGGAUGAUUUUGGGGUGCGGCGGGUCGCGGGUGUGGAGACUCAGCAUGGUUCCAUCCAGACACCCUGCGUGGUCAACUGUGCAGGAGUGUGGGCAAGUGCUGUGGGCCGGAUGGCUGGAGUCAAGGUCCCGCUGGUGGCCAUGCACCAUGCCUAUGUCGUCACCGAGCGCAUCGAGGGGAUUCAGAACAUGCCCAAUGUCCGUGAUCAUGAUGCCUCUGUCUACCUCCGCCUCCAAGGGGAUGCCUUGUCUGUGGGUGGCUAUGAGGCCAACCCCAUCUUUUGGGAGGAGGUGUCAGACAAGUUUGCCUUCGGCCUCUUUGACCUGGACUGGGAGGUGUUCACCCAGCACAUUGAAGGCGCCAUCAACAGGGUCCCCGUGCUGGAGAAGACAGGAAUCAAGUCCACGGUCUGCGGCCCUGAAUCCUUCACGCCCGACCACAAGCCCCUGAUGGGGGAGGCACCUGAGCUCCGAGGGUUCUUCCUGGGCUGUGGCUUCAACAGCGCAGGAAUGAUGCUGGGUGGUGGCUGUGGGCAGGAGCUGGCCCACUGGAUCAUCCAUGGGCGCCCGGAGAAGGACAUGCAUGGCUAUGACAUCAGGCGCUUCCAUCACUCGCUCACGGACCACCCCCGCUGGAUCCGAGAGCGAAGCCAUGAGUCCUACGCCAAGAACUACUCCGUCGUCUUCCCCCACGAUGAGCCGCUGGCCGGGCGCAACAUGAGGAGAGACCCGCUGCACGAGGAACUCCUUGGACAAGGCUGCGUGUUCCAGGAGCGGCAUGGCUGGGAGCGACCGGGAUGGUUUCAUCCCCGAGGCCCAGCUCCGGUCCUCGAGUACGACUACUACGGGGCUUACGGGAGCCGCGCGCACGAGGACUACGCCUACCGCAGGCUGCUGGCAGACGAGUACACCUUCGCCUUCCCGCCCCACCACGACACGAUCAAGAAGGAGUGCCUGGCCUGCAGAGGGGCCGCCGCUGUGUUUGACAUGUCCUACUUCGGGAAGUUCUACCUGGUGGGGCUGGAUGCAAGGAAGGCUGCCGACUGGCUCUUCUCCGCAGAUGUCAGCCGACCCCCAGGCUCCACCGUGUACACGUGCAUGCUCAACCACCGUGGGGGCACCGAGAGUGACCUGACUGUCAGCCGCCUGGCACCCAGCCACCAGGCCUCCCCGCUGGCCCCCGCCUUUGAAGGGGACGGUUACUACCUGGCCAUGGGCGGGGCCGUGGCCCAGCACAACUGGUCCCACAUCACCACCGUGCUGCAGGACCAGAAGUCCCAGUGCCAGCUCAUCGACAGCUCCGAGGACCUGGGUAUGAUCAGUAUCCAGGGCCCAGCCAGCCGAGCCAUUUUGCAGGAGGUGCUGGACGCAGACCUGAGCAACGAGGCCUUCCCGUUCUCCACCCACAAGCUACUGAGAGCCGCAGGGCACCUGGUCCGAGCCAUGCGGCUGUCCUUUGUGGGGGAGCUGGGCUGGGAGCUGCACAUUCCAAAGGCGUCCUGCGUGCCUGUGUACCGGGCUGUGAUGGCCGCGGGUGCCAAGCACGGCCUCAUCAACGCAGGGUACCGCGCCAUCGACUCCCUGAGCAUUGAGAAAGGCUACCGGCACUGGCACGCGGACCUGCGGCCAGACGACAGCCCCCUGGAGGCAGGCCUGGCCUUCACCUGCAAGCUCAAGUCGCCGGUGCCCUUCCUGGGGAGGGAGGCCCUGGAGCAGCAGCGGGCCGCAGGCCUCCGCCGGCGCCUGGUGUGCUUCACCAUGGAGGACAAAGUACCCAUGUUUGGCCUGGAGGCCAUCUGGAGGAACGGCCAAGUGGUGGGCCAUGUCCGGAGGGCUGACUUUGGGUUCGCCAUCGACAAGACCAUCGCCUACGGUUACAUCCAUGACCCCAGCGGUGGGCCGGUCUCGCUGGACUUUGUGAAGAGCGGGGACUAUGCCCUGGAGAGAAUGGGGGUGACCUAUGGUGCCCAGGCUCACCUGAAGUCGCCCUUCGACCCCAACAACAAGAGGGUGAAGGGAAUCUACUGAGGGCUCAGACCACAUGCCCCAUCCCAUGCUGUCCAUCCAUUCUCACAGGUCCCAAAUGGCCCUGGGUCCCAGGACCCUGGACCCAGCCAGAACUUGUGCCCUCCCUGUCCUUAGCCUAGGCCUAGUCCUGCGAAAACCCCCAAACCAGAUACGGACAGAGACCAAGAUGGCCCAUCCUGUGGUCACUGACUGGAAGGCAGUCUCUAAUCCACCCCAAUCCUCCCAGAAAGCAAACCUGCUUGACUGAUCGGUGGCGGGCUUCCCUGGGGCACUUGGCUGAAGAGCAUGAGGCUGUGUCUGGGUCAGGAAAGAGAGGUGAUCGACUGGCAUUGUCUGCCACAGCGCACAUGGAGGCCUGGGACCAAGGCCAUUCUUCAGGAUGGUGCCUCUCGGCUCUCAGGUCGGAACAGGAGCUGGAAAGCUCUUCUUACCUUGCUCGACCUCCCUGUUCUUCAGGUGGCAAAGCCUCCUGAGAGUCGGCAGCCCGGGAACACAGAGGAGCCGAAGCAGGGAGCGGGCGGGGCCUCAGAUUGGUGCCCUCCUCACCCACACAGAAGUGCCAGCUCCUGCCUCAGUUUCCCCUUGAGCCCCUCGCUCACCAGGCCCAGGCAGGAGGGACGUGCUGCUGGGUAAGAGUCUGGUGGAGUCCCCCUUUCUAGGUGACCUUUGUCUUUGCUGUUGAUUUGGACGCGGUUCCUGCCCAUGCCCUCCUCCUUGUCUGGCCCUUGCAGGAGGACCCUCUCUUAGGCUCUGCCCUGCACGCUGCCUUGAGAUGGGGUGGCUCCUCUGCCCACCUUCUCUUCCCCCUGAUAACUGCCUGUGUGUCAGAAGCAGCUCUGCCUCUCCUGCCUGGGAGGGGUGUGCAUCUCUGUCCAUCCCACGUGCUCAGUCCCCUCCCUUGUCCCCCCGAGCCCAGGUUCAGAUCAGGCCCGUCAGAGCGGCACUGCGCAGUCUUGCCAGGCAUGCCCUGCAAUCUGGGAAGAGCGGGAGGCAGAUGCUUGAGGGUAUCGUGGAGCCGGGGCCCCACAGAGCCACACACACAGCAAACAGCGAUCUGGGGGCAGCAGUCCUGGCAGGCCCCAGCUGCCACUGGACGCUCCCAGGCCACGCGGCCCACUGUGGACUGAGCUCGAACAAAGCUGUGGGCAGACGUUUGGGUUACAGAUGGCUGUGAAAAGUGGGUUUGGCCCCCUGAGUCUGGGGAGGGGGCUGCGGCUGGAGACCAGGGUGGGGGCUGUUGGCUUUCACACGCUUCAGGCUGAAGGAACACCUGCAGCCUCCCCUUGCUCACAGGCGGGCCUGGCUUCUGGAUGAGACAGCUUUGUGGGAGCCAGGGGAGGAGAGGAGGGGAGCCGGCUCCCCAGAUGGCCUGGCCUGCUUCCUCCGGGUCUGCGGUUUGGCCAUAGACCCCUGGAUUGGGCCGGUGACCACAUUCAUCUCACGGCCCAUCCCUGGGGGAAGGCUGAGGAUGAGGGGAGGUCAGAGCCCGGGUUCCGCUCCAAAUUGUUUCUCGUGGCUGCAGCUGGGGAAUGCACGCAACGGCACCACCCUGUCCCGAGGAGAGAGAACCUGGCUGCGCUCCCUGUCCCGAGGAGAGAGAACCCAGCACCCCUCCCUGUCCCCUGUGUGCUUCCCCCGCCCCUGUGGAGAGAGAACCUGGCCCCUCGGGGAGGGCACUGGGCAUUGAUGUGAGCGCAGCCUCCACAACUCACCUCCCAAGCUCAUCACCUGCGGGCUCCAUCCCUGCGCUGCCAGAGGUCCUGGCCCCGCCAUGGCUCCCAAGUGCACCGCCCGGGGACCACAUCACAAAAGACCCACCUUCCCAGACCCCGAGCCAGGUCUUCCAGACCUCAACUUUAAAAACACCGUUUCGUAGCUAUUUUUAAAUUUUUUUUCUGGAAAUAUUGAUACCAUGACGCUCACUGUGGCUGAGUACUGCCUCUCAGGAAUUCUGAGCAAACUGUUUUGAAAGUGCCUACACUGGCCGGGCGCAGUGACUGACGCCUGUAAUCCCAGCACUUUGGGAGGCCGAGGGGGGCGGAUCACCUGAGGUUGGGAGUUUGAGACCAGCCUGACCAAUAUGGUGAAGUCUCAUCUCUACUAAAAACACAAAAUUAGCUGGGCGUGGUGGCACACGCCUGUAAUCCCAGAUACUUGGGAGGCUGAGGUGGGAGAAUUGCUUGAACCCAGGAAGCGGAGGUUGUGGUGAGCCGAGAUUAUGCCAUUGCACUCCAGCCUGGGCAACAAGAGGGAAACUCUGUCUCAAAAACAACAAAAAAAAGAAAGUGCCUACAUCGUCACCGGCAGAGCGCUAUACCACAGUGUGCAGUGAGACAGCCUUGGGCCAUGUGAAAAGUUGGGGGUAUGAAUGGGACGCAGAAAGGUUCCAUUUUGUUUUUUUUUGUUGUUGUUGUUUUUUUUUUGAGACAGGGUUUUACUCUGUUGCCCAAGCUGGAGUACAGUGGUGUGAUCUCAGCUCACUACAACCUCCACCUCCCAGGUCAAGCAAUUCUCCCACCUCAGCCUCCCAAAUAGCUAGGAUUACAAACGCGCACCACCACAGCCUGGCUAAUUUUUGUAUUUUUAGUAGAGACGGGGUUUCACCAUAUUGGCCAGGCUGGUCUCGAACUACCGACCUCAGGUGAUCCGCCCGCCUCAGUCUCCCAAAAUGCUGGGAUUACAGGCGUGAGCCACCGCGCCCAGCCCUAAUUAUUGUAUUUUUUGUAGAGACAGGAUUUCACUAUGUUGCCCAGGCUGGUCUUGAACUCCUGGGCUCAAGUGAUCCUCGCAUCUCAGCCUCCCAAAGUGCUGGGAUUACAGGCAUGAGCCACAGCACCCGACCUUGUAUCAUUUUAAUUAAUUUAAAAUUAAUCGUAAGUAGCCACAUGAGGCUAGCAGCCACCAGAAAGCACAGCCCUGGUGUGCUCUGGGACCCAGUCGGGCAGGCACCCCUAUGCUGGCUGGAGCCUGGGGUCGCCCCACUUCUCUCAACACUGAUGGGCAUGAGCAUUCCUCACCCCAGGGCUCUGAGCACCUCACAGAUGGGGGGUUGUGCCACCCUAGCAGUCCCUGCCCCCUGGGAGGCUGGGGAACCCUCUCCUCGGUGGGCAGAUAGGGAGACCCAAGCCUAGGGAAGGAAAGUAACUAACUCAGGGUCACACAGCAGGGGCAGGAAUAGCAACCUGGGCUGCUGGACUCACACCCCAAUCAUUCGGAAGGUGGGCGAGCCCAGAGUCCCUUUGGCUUGGGGCAUGUAGGUCAUUUUCAGGUAACAAAGCACUUCCCCUAAGCCUCUAAAUAAGGAACUUAUUUUAGAUAAAAUCCCCCACAAGGGUCCUGGGGAAAUUCCUGUUUCCUAAGUAAGCAGAGGUUGAGCAUUCAGACACUGGAGUCAGACCUGGGGACACUUCGAGCUCCCCGGCUUACUCUGGGUGACCUUGGCACCUAACUUUAGGUCUCUGAGCCUCAGUUUCCUCCUCCAUCAAUGGAAACAGAAACUACAUGGCUUCACGAGAUUGCCACGGCUGUGCAUAGCCUCAGUGUGGGGCAAGUGGCAACUCUCAGCAACCACGGGGUUACGCUUAUCUGGGUGUAGGAGGUGCGGGUACUGCUGGAGCGGGGUAGGGGGGACACGGCUGCUGUCUCUGCAAGAGGAAGAGGAUAACCAGCCUGAGAGCAAGAGUGUGAGUGGGGGGUGAGGUGGGGGUGGGGUUGUCGCUGUGGCAGGUUCCAGAGCUGGCUAGGAUUCCCAAUCACUGCCGCUCUUGGGCCCCAGGUGAGGUACUUAUCUGGGAGUCUCAGUUUCCCUGCCCGAGAUCGGCAGGCUACAAGUGCCCCCCAGGUGUUUGGGCAGGACCCUGGGACCCUUCUCUGGGCUGGCAAUUGGGUGUGAUCGCGGGAAGAGGCUUCUUGGGCCUGCUCCGUGUCUACUGUCACCUAGGCUGUAAAGAUGACAGAGGGCCGGAGUGGCUCUCCAGGCUGGGGCCUGGCAUUUCACAGCGCUAGCGCCGUGACUUAUGGACCACAAGAAGCUGUGAUUUAUACAACGUGAGGCAGAGCUCCUGGGCUCGUGACUUCCCUUCUGUGAUGAAGUGAAGUGCCUUGCAGAAGCAGCAGCCGCUUAGCUGAUGCGAGGGGACUCCGAGGCCCAUCCAUCUCCCUCUCUCCCCAUGAGGCUGGGCAGCGUUUUGCUGAAGUGGCUGAACACAAGUGCAUCUGUUACUGUCUCCAGAAACCAUCAAAGAGCUGAACUUGUCCCUGAGAGGCAGCUCAGAGGGCAGGAAGGGGAGACCCACCCAGGCCAGCUGAGGCAGCUUCAGGACGCUCAGGGGGAAGCACUUGGUAC